UUGUAUGGACAGUUUAAUUCCCUCCACGAGCCUAAACGUAAUCAUCGUCGUCCUCAUCAGCCCCCAUUCAGCCACUGUUGGAUGAAGAUCUCCCUAAGCCUUCGCCAUUACUUUUCGUCCCGCGAUGCAACAGUCGGUCUUGCACGUGAGUCAAAUUAGCCGCUGCAUAUCCACGCCGAACAUCCUCUCCAGUGUCUUACCUCCUGUGACUGCCACUCUGUGGUUUUGUCAACAAAAUGUGACACGGACAUACGCUUUCAUUUGAAUGCAUCUUAAAUAAUAAUCAAUUGUUACAUUCAUAAUGCGAGGUCUGUAUCGUGGGUGUAAGAGACAAUUUUAUUAAAUCAUCACUUGCCUCGUUUCCAUUUUGGUGACCCCAGUGGUUUAGCUUUCGAGUGUGCCGGGGGUGCAAGUGAACCACAAGGGCCCAAGAAUCGGAAGGGACCCUGGCGACAGGCUACGAGGAGGGGAGCCCAUUUCAUUAUUUGCACCAGGGCCCAUCCAACCACGCUACGCCACUGAGUGAGCCACAGGGGCCAAGAGCACCCCACGCCUCCCACUAAUGAAGCGUUGAUGUGGAACAACAGCAGCAGGGUUUAUGAAAACGGGGAGGUAACGUGGCACUUGUACCGGUAGACGGUGAGCCCAGACUCGGAUUUGGUGACAUGAGCAGGCGACGAAUCAGUGAGAGGACAAGAGGAAAGCCAAAGGAAGGAAUAUGGUCAGGAACGCGUCCACCACGGAGAUGGAGCUGAUUCAAUCGGCUCGCGUGCUGGUGCUAGAUGGAAUGUUACACUGCAGACCCUUGGCUUGAGGAGGCCUACAUCCAGCAGUGGAUUGAUCACGGCUGAUGAUGAUGAUGAUGAGGAAUGCAGAGGCAAUCCUUAAUGCACCAGAGGGUGCUGUUGUGCUGUGACGAGUCCGUCUCUCGCGGGAGGCUGCAUGAGUUUAUUGGCUGGAAAAUUCGAGACGGAGCUCACUGGACCCGGAGUCAGGGUACAUCCCCGGGUGACCACAUUGGCACUCAUGAGGAUUCAGUCCACCCGACUGUACAGUUCACUGGAGUGUAUCACCAAAUUAAUGUUUCAAUAACGACAAGAGUGCCCUCUGCUGGAUGAGAAGUUGCUGUUCCGCCCUCUCCUGUCGAGCCAAGCCGUGGCGUCUCCUCGAUGCCCACGGGAAGGGAGUUUCACGACAUCUGCGCGAUCCACCAACCCUAGCCUCCCGCAGUGUUGGAUUAGGCGCAGCGACGUCCAUGGCCACUACAGGUAUUUAGAUAAUUAGGGUAAAUUUUCACUCAACUUCAAAAUAACGAAUGCGCUGGUAAUGUUAACCUAAAUCACGUAAAGUGUUUAGGAAACACUCACACAGCAAUAAAUUCAUAUUGCGAAGACAUGCACAUUCGGGUCGCCACCUUAUUCACAGACCAAACUGAAAUAAAGUUCCAACACCACAUCGCCACCAGAUGUCAGUACAAAUCAAUUAUUGGCACGCGACCACAGACGCCAAACUCCUGAGACAAUCGGGGUCAAAGCCGGACAGAUGGCAACCCUCUUGCGCGUCUGCACGAAAUGCCCCAAAUCCAUAGCUUACCUCGCCUUUCGCGUCCUUCCAUCCACUAUUCUCUCUUCUGCACCUUCUCCCUCAACUGCCUCUCGACCCGCUUGCGCUGGUAGCUCUUGGCCCACACGAAGCCGAGACACAGCAGCAGAGACUUGGCGGCGAGGAUGUACAUGAGCAGUGGGAAAUUAUCCAACGCCUUGCUCUCGACCAACAUCUUGUUGUUGUUGUGAUUAUUAUGCAAGGGGAAACGAGGUUUAUGUGCACAGACCACGCGCGGUGUCUUUUCAGCAGCGUCGUUGAGCGAGCGAUCCCUGCUCUUGAAUGUGGAGUCGCCCAGUGACGCGACGUGUCAAUUUAUAGCCCACGGAGUUGUCUAGUGAUGACCCUGCCGACACGUCGUCGUCUACAAGGACAGCUGCCAAACAGACUGGAUACUUCGAGAGACGUCUACGCUUUAUUUAGCGUUUGGCAAUACGUAAGCACGGCUUUGCUGCCCUUAAAAGGUCCCAUGGAGGAAUGCCAGCAAUGGGUGGCGGCUCUAACGUGGCUUAUUCCACGGUGUGGAGUGCUGGGUAAUGUUACAGUUGGUGGAUGCCGGCGAUAUGAUGAUGUGAUCAAUUCACUCUUCUUGGGUGAUAUUUUCGUCUUAACAAAAUGGUCGUCGUCUCGUGCGUGCUCUGCCACCAGUCACGCGUUUGUCCAGUGCCAGGUGCAUGACGAGGGUGACGAUGCCCUCUGUCCUCUACUAACGCCGAUGAUGACUCGGCGCCUUCACAAACCCCAACUCACCGAAUCACCCUCCAUGACCCGCACAGCAAGGACGUCAUCGCUCAAUGGGUUAACAAGAGGCGUGCGUAUGGAGUAACAUCAGGGUGCACCAGGUGCUCACACGUGGUUGUCUGCCGAGCUGCAGACAACAGCAGGAGCCGAUGGCUGAAGAGGAGGGCGCCAAUCUUCACCUCAACCUGGUCGGAGCUGACCCCACCAGCCCCAGGCCUCACGAGGCCUCACGAGGCGCUUGGCAAUCGCUAUCGACUCUGGCCACUCUUAAUUACGACAGGCUUAACGGCCGGGUAAAAUCGUUCCUUUAAUAAUAAUUAGCAAUAAUCGUUUUUGCAAUAUAGCAUUUAAAAGCACAAAGGACAUUUACAUGCGCGUGAACGAAUCCUGACACAGGUCGGACGUGAAAUACAACACUGCGGAGUGGGGGGCUCGUGUAAACGUCAAGACGCGCACGUGUGUGUGUGUGAGCUUAUCAUGCUGUGGGGAGGAGUGGUGGUGAGUGGUUAGCGCGCUGCGCUA